CACGUAGGGUGCGAGCGUUGUCCGGAAUUAUUGGGCGUAAAGAGCUCGUAGGCGGUGUGUCGCGUCGGCCGUGAAAACCUGCAGCUUAACUGUGGGCGUGCGGUCGAUACGGGCAUCACUGGAGUUCGGCAGGGAGACUGGAAUUCCUGGUGUGAGCGGUGAAAUGCGCAGAUAUCAGGAGGAACACCGGUGGCGAAGGCGGGUCUCUGGGCCGAUAACUG
rnacentral:rRNA from 1 species